rnacentral:rRNA from 1 species
UACGAAGGGGACUAGCGUUGUUCGGAAUCACUGGGCGUAAAGCGCACGUAGGCGGAUGUGUCAGUCAGGGGUGAAAUCCCGGGGCUCAACCUCGGAACUGCCUUUGAUACAGCACGUCUCGAGUCCGGAAGAGGUGGGUGGAAUUCCUAGUGUAGAGGUGAAAAUUCGUAGAUAUUAGGAAGAACACCGGUGGCGAAGGCGGGAUCCUGGGCCAGUACUGACGCUGAGGAGCGAAAGCGUGGGGAGCAAACAGGG